GAGGUUGCUCUUUUAUAGCUGAAGAAUUCCAUCCUUCUAGGGUUUUGAAAUCCCUUUUUAAUUUGGCUUGUGAUUCCUCUUUUGAUGUUGAAUUUAAUUGCAACUGGAAUUCCUUAGGUGAGAAACUCUUUCGUGGCUCUUGGAAUUGUGUUGGUAGUGAUUGAGUUGGAUUUGGACUUCUGAAAAUUCGAAAUUUGGUUCCCUGCUGUUUUCCCGCCUCUACUGUCAAUUUCUGCUGUCAAGGUGAUUUGGGCAGUUUCUGCGAGUGAUUUGGGCAAAUCACUUGCCCAAUCUGCCCCAAUCGUUCUCCAGGAUUCAGUCCAGUUUCUGUCUCUGUCUCUGCGAGUGAUUUGACCAGUUUCUACGAGUGAUUUGGGCAAAUCACUGACCCAAUCACUUUUCC
rnacentral:lncRNA from 1 species